rnacentral:rRNA from 1 species
CCUACGGGAGGCAGCAGUCGAGAAUCAUUCACAAUGGGGGAAACCCUGAUGGUGCGACGCCGCGUGGGGGAAUGAAGGUCUUCGGAUUGUAAACCCCUGUCAUGUGGGAGCAAAUUAAAAAGAUAGUACCACAAGAGGAAGAGACGGCUAACUCUGUGCCAGCAGCCGCGGUAAUACAGAGGUCUCAAGCGUUGUUCGGAAUCACUGGGCGUAAAGCGUGCGUAGGCUGUUUCGUAAGUCGUGUGUGAAAGGCGGGGGCUCAACCCGCGGACGGCACAUGAUACUGCGAGACUAGAGUAAUGGAGGGGGAACCGGAAGUCUCGGUGUAGGAGGGAAAUGGGUAGAUAUCGAGAGGAACACUCGGGGCGAAGGCGGGUUCCUGGACAUCAACGGACGCGGAGGCACGAAGGCUAGGGGAGCGAAAGGGAUUAGAUACCCCAGUAGU